rnacentral:rRNA from 1 species
GAGUGGCGAACGGGUGAGUAACACGUGAGUAACCUGCCCUUGACUUUGGGAUAACUUCAGGAAACUGGGGCUAAUACCGGAUAGGAGCUCCUGCUGCAUGGUGGGGGUUGGAAAGUUUCGGCGGUUGGGGAUGGACUCGCGGCUUAUCAGCUUGUUGGUGGGGUAGUGGCUUACCAAGGCUUUGACGGGUAGCCGGCCUGAGAGGGUGACCGGCCACAUUGGGACUGAGAUACGGCCCAG